rnacentral:lncRNA from 1 species
GACAGUUACUUCAUGGAGUUGGCAGACCCCCUGGGAUCCCAAUCAGGCUCCAUCUUAUAUGUAACAUUUCCAUUUAAUGAUGGUACUUGGCUGAACCUGUCGUGUUUUAUUAGGAUUAGUGAGCACUGUGAAAAAAAUAAAAUCAGAUAAAGAAAAAUUUAAAAGUUUAUUGUUCAAACAAGAAGUACAGACCACAAUCUAGAAGACUCAAAUCAAGUGGUAAGAAAUUAAUCUUACAGCAGUUACAACACAGUUUAUAAUGCAUAAAGGGGGGGAAUAUUUUGACCUUUUUUAUAAUUGGCUGUUAUACAUUCUUUUUAGGGCAAGUUGAGCUGUUUAAGCUUGUUGGUCUAUAGCUGAUUGGUUUAAUUUCAGUGAAUCAUGCUGGCAAGGAUGUAAAGCUUACAUUUUGCAUUUCAUUUAUGAUCAGAGACAGCAUUUCAGGAAAAUCAGAAUGAUUAGUUUUGGUUACACGGUUGCGGGUAGUCAGCCUUAGGGUAUUUCUAAACUGGGGCUUCCAUUUUUAUUUUUCGUUAAUAAUACCUGCAUGAGAUGGGCAGCUCAGGUCUUAAGGUCACAUACAGUGCUUCAGUGGUCAAGUGUUCUGUUUAAAUUAGAGUCCAAUAGCAGGCUAGUAGCUGCCAUUCAAAGGGAAUGUAUAUGGCAACCAUCUUGGGUAAUUUAUAUGUCCAAAACCUAAGGGCCUGGUGCAUCCUGAUAGCAGUCUCUUGUUGCCGCAGUAUCCAAUCUGUAUGGGUAAGAGUCAAUGAGACCUGUAGUUCCAUGGGCCUACAUUAAUGUCAGGCCCAUGUUAAUGCAUAGUAGGCCUCUCGAGUCUGCUGUUGUUGAGGGCCCCAUUCAGAGGUGGCUGUGUUGUGGGUAAUUUUAACUAAAGGAGGCAAAAUAAUACUCAGAUGUGAUACAUGUUAUCUCCAAUAGACAAACAGGCAUACCAGCUAUUGAGCUUCUUUUAGGUGGGGGCUGCCAAGGACAAUAUUUGACUUUAUCAGGAAUACUCCUCUAAUUACUGGACCAGGUAGCUCCAGGGACUGCACUUGUUGGGCAAGUCUUGGGAUCUUAUCAGGGCUGACAACUCAACCUGCAUGUGUCAUAUUAUCUAUGACCUUAUGUAUGGAGUGGUCAACUUGUUUCAUAGGCUGGCAAUGAGCAUGUUAUUAAUAUAGUGGAUGACAAGUACUUUUCGAAGUAACUGGACAUGUUGCAGGUCAGGGGAAUGGAAGUAUUGCUAUGGACUGAACUGUGCCCCCAAAAUUCAUAUGUUGAAGCCCUGAGCUCUGACAUGAUUGUAUCUGAAGUCCUAAAGCCAGGAAUGAGGAAGGCUGUGAAUGUCCAUUGUUCCAUACAAGAAUGACUCUUCUCUUGGCUAUUUAGAGAUCAUGAGGGAUACUGCCCCAGUUUCCACAGGCCAGAUGGUCUCCAACAAAAGCCACGGGGGAGUCACCCCUGCCUGGCAGAUCUAUCGGGUCAGGACCACCGCCCAGGGGGUCCUGGAGAGGACAGUAUAGGACCAAAGAGGAUUAUUCAUGAGCCUAAGAUCUCAUGAAACGUGCCUUGCUAAGUUUUAGACUUGCAUAGGACCAUCAUCCCCCUGCUCCCCCAUCCUUUUUUAUUUUUUAUUGAUAGGGUUUCACUCUGUCAUCCAGGCUGGAGUGCAGUACGAUCACAACUCACUGUAGCCUCGAACUCCCAUGCUCAAGCCACCAUGCCCAACUAAUUAUUUUUAUUAUUUUUGUAGAAAUAAGGUCUCCCUAUGUUGCCCAGGCUGGUCUCGAACUCCUGGACUCAAGCAAUCCUCCCACCUCAGCCUCCCAAAGUGCUAGGAUUAAAGGCAUGAGCUAUCACACCCAGCCUCAUCAUCCCUUUCUUCCUUCCAAUUUCUCACUUUUGGAAUUGGAAUACCUAAUCCUGCCUAUCCCAUCACUGUAUUUUGGAAGCACAUAACUUGUCUGGUUUCAUAGGUUCACAGCUGGAGGGGAAUUUUGCCUCAGGAUAAGCUAAACCUUGGGUCUCACCCAUAUCUGAUUUAGAUAUUUUUGAGACAAAGUCUCACUGUCGCCCAGGCUGGAGUGCAAUGGUGCGAUCUCGGCUCACUGCAACCUCUGUCUCUCGGGUUCAAGCGAUUCUCCUGCCUCAGCCUCCCCGUGUAGCUGGGAUUACAGGUGCACACCAUCACGCCCAGCUAAUUUUUGUAUUUUUAGUAGAGAUGGGGUUUCACCAUGUUGGUCAGGCUGGUCUCGAACUCCUGACGUAGUGAUCCACCCGCCUCGGCCUCCCAAAGUGCUGGGAUUACAGGCGUGAGCCACCAUGCCCGGCCUUUAUUUAGAUAUUUAGAUAUUUAGAUGAGACUUUGGACUUUAAAUGUUAGUUGAUACUAGAAUGAGUUAAAACUUUGGAGGCUGUUAGGAUGGAAUGAACUUAUUUUGUAUGUAAGGAUAUGAAUAGAGUGGCUAGGAGUGGAAUGUUAUAGAAUGAAUAUUUAUGUUGAAGCCCUAACCCCAAAUGUUAUAUUUGGGGGUGGGGGGCCUUUGGAAAAUAACUAGGAUUGGAGUAGGUCAUGAGAAUGGGGCUGUCACUCUCACUAACGCCCUUAAAAGACUUGGAAGAGGCACCAGUGCUCUUGCUCUCUGAAAUUUGAGGACACAGGAAAAAGGGGGCCAUCUGCAAACCAGGAAGAGAGCCCUCACCAGCACUCAACCAUUCUGGCAUCUUGAUGUUGAAUUAUGAAGACUACAGAACUGUGAGAAAUAAAUGUCUGUUGUUUAAGCCAUCCUCUAUGGUAUUUUGUUAUAAUAGCUCAAACUGACUAAAACAGUUGCUAAAGAUAUAUCCCUCCCAAUCCCCUCACCCAAAGAACCAGGCCCAGUUACUUUUAGCAAGCCUUCAAGGAACAAUUCCCAUGUUAUACAAACUCUCCAUAGCAAUAAGAUAAACAAAAUUUUUUCCAAAUUCUUUUGCAAAGCUAGCAAAGCAUUACCAAAUUGAAUCUACUUCUGUACUUAAUAAAAAUUCACUAUGAACAAAUAGAUUUUACUUGAAAAGUACAAGGAAAUUGCAAAUAUUUGCAAACUUGUCAAGAAAAUGAAUUACAAAAAGAAAAAACCAUAACUCAUAAAAUUACAAUGAUGGAGUUUUUAAACUUGAUAUAAUAUAGCAACCAAUCCUAAUAAAAACUUUUUAAGUAUAGGCCAGGCAUGGUGGCUCACACCUGUAUUCCCAGCACUUAGAGAAGCUGAGGCAGGAUGAUCGCUUGAGGCCAGGACCGCAAGACCAGCCUGAGCAAAAUAGUGAAACCCCAUGUUUACAAAAAAUAAAAAUAAAAACUUAGUCGGGCAUGGUGGCACAUGCCUGUAUUCCUAACUAUAGGGGAGGUUGAGGCAGGAGCAUCUCUUGAGCCCAGGAGUUCAAGGCUGAGGUGACCUAUGGUCACAUCACUACACUCCAGCCUGAGCAACAGAGGGAGACCUUGUCAAAAAAAAAAACAGAAAACAAAACUGUAAGUAUAAUAAUAAUUGGGAAACUGUGCACUGUGUGCCCAGUAUUGUUACAAUAAUGUAUUCUUCACAACCCUAUGAGGUAGCUCCAUUUUAUAGAUGGAGGAAUAAGAUACAAGGAAGGUAAGUGAUUUGCCCAGGAUCACACACCUAACAAAGUGGUGGACUCAGGAUUUGAACCUAGGGCACUGGGAACAAAAUCUGUGCUCUUAACCACUAAACUACACUGCUUCUUCUAGAAAUAAGAUUAGAAGGAAACUUCCUAAAUCUAACAGAACAUCAGAAUCCAACAAUGAACACGAUAUGAAACUGCAGAAUACUAAAAACAUUCCCCCAAGCGUUAAGAGAAAGACAUCUACUGUUCCAUGUUUUCUGAAGUUCUUGCUAAUGCACAACAUAAGUGACAUCAAAAGACAAAUAAAUCAUUAUUUAUUCUAAACCUAGAAAAGCUAGGAAAUGAAUCUAACAAAUUAUUAAACCUAAAAAUAAUUUAUCAACAUAAUUGGAUCCAGAUAAAAUUUGUUUAAAUCAAUAAUUAAAGUUUAUACUAGCAGUGACCAAUAGAAAUUGAAGUAUGGCUUUCAAAUGCAGCCAGUUUUCCUCCAUCCAAGAGCCUGAGGCUUUUUCAGGAUUCACUUGUACUGAGCACCCACACCAGACUGGUGGCAGUGAGUUAAUAUAGUUAGGAAAUGGUGCACAUUCCCACACUCUGGAGGCUUAGUAUGGUAGGGGAUGAGCAGGCAAGAACCAGAAGGUAAAACUGCAGCUUCCAACAGGCAGGAUGGUUCUUCUGCAGACAUGACUGGCAAUGUCCAACUCAGGGCGGGGAACCAGAAAUGUCCAACUCAUGUGCUCAUAUAGUGUGGGGCUCUUCCCUGAAAUCUGGGGGCUCCCAAAAUAAGACAGUUAAAGAGGAAAAAGUCCUAUCUGCAUAUCUUUUAAAAGAAAAUGGAAAAAAAUACAAAAAAACAAGCUGAAAACAUUUAAAAUACAUAUUCACAAAUGGUAAAAUUCCAGCCGUGUCAUGAGCUCCGGUUUGUUGUUUUGUUGUUGUUAUUGAGACAGAGUCUCGCUCUGUUGCCCAGGCUGCAGUACAGUGGUGUGAUCUUGGCUCACUGCAAUCUCUGCCCUCCAGGUUCAAGUGAUUCUCUUGCCUCAGACUCCUGAAUAGCUGGGAUUACAGGCGUGCACCACCACACCCAGCUAAUUUUUGUAUUUUUAGUAGAAACGGGGUUUUACAAUGUUGGCCAGGCUGGUCUCAAACUCCUGGACUCAGGUGAUCUGACCGCCUCAGCCUCCCAAAGUGCUGGGAUUACAGGCAUGAGCCACUGUGCCCAGACAAGUUUAGAAAUUUCAAAAGGCCCUGAAAAACUUUAGGCCCCCAGUAAUCCUUUCUAACUUUGUCUGAGACAUCUCCCCAACAAUCACAUUUAAUUCUAAUUUUCUUGAUCCUCAACUCUCUUUCCUUUCUCCUGCAUUGUCUGAAACAUACACCACAGUGCACAAAAUCACCCCUCCAGGUUACAUGACUGACAUUGCCCCUCUAGCCUCCUCCUCCACCUUUGUCAUACUGCGGAUCCUGUCAGCCUGUUAAGAAAUCUGGGGGAUGGAGGCCAGGCGUGAGCCACUGAGCCUGGCCGACUAUAACUUUUAUUUAGGAAGCAGGAUGCAGUCAAAUAGUUCAGAAAUGGAGUAAGUGUGCAGCUCAAAGCAUGUUAUCAGUAGGAUAUGACUGCCCAACCCAAUACCUAGAUAAACAGACACUCAUUCACACACAAAUCCAUUAGCUCUUCAAGGCUGAAGUACCAGUAGUAAGACUUCCAGGGCUACAAGUAGAAGAUAUCAGUGAGCCUUUAUAUGUGAUAUAUUACGAUGCCACUUCCUUCUUUAGAAGCUUCUAGUCCAGUGUAAUGGGAGGGAGACGGGAGCCUGUGCCCACGUUUAUGAUGGCUCAAUUUGAAUUUUAAAACUUAAGAACUAGCAUAUUCAAACUAUUAUGCAUAUAAAGAAAUAGAUACCAUACCUGAUCUCAGAAGCUUACAAGCUGGUAUGAAAGUAUACACAUUUGAGGCUGGGUGCAGUGGCUCAC